GUUUGAUCCUGGCUCAGAUUGAACGCUGGCGGCAGGCCUAACACAUGCAAGUCGAGCGGAUGACGGGAGCUUGCUCCUUGAUUCAGCGGCGGACGGGUGAGUAAUGCCUAGGAAUCUGCCUGGUAGUGGGGGACAACGUUUCGAAAGGAACGCUAAUACCGCAUACGUCCUACGGGAGAAAGCAGGGGACCUUCGGGCCUUGCGCUAUCAGAUGAGCCUAGGUCGGAUUAGCUAGUUGGUGGGGUAAUGGCUCACCAAGGCGACGAUCCGUAACUGGUCUGAGAGGAUGAUCAGCUCACACUGGAACUGAGACACGGUCCAGACUCCUACGGGAGGCAGCAGUGGGGAAUAUUGGACAAUGGGCGAAAGCCUGAUCCAGCCAUGCCGCGUGUGUGAAGAAGGUCUUCGGAUUGUAAAGCACUUUAAGUUGGGAGGAAGGGCAGUAAGUUAAUACCUUGCUGUUUUGACGUUACCGACAGAAUAAGCACCGGCUAACUCUGUGCCAGCAGCCGCGGUA
rnacentral:rRNA from 1 species